rnacentral:rRNA from 1 species
ACGGAAGUCGUUAUGAUGAUUUCAACACUGACAGAGAACUUGUUCAAAGAAAGUAGAGAUUGACUUAUAACAAUGGCUUUAGUGGCGGACUGGUGAGUAACACGUGAGCAACCUGCCUAUCAGAGGGGAAUAACAGUGAGAAAUCAUUGCUAAUACCGCAUAUGCCAUAAAUAUCACAUGAUGAAAGUGGGAAAGGAGUAAUCCGCUGAUAGAUGGGCUCGCGUCUGAUUAGAUAGUUGGUGGGGUAACGGCCUACCAAGUCGACGAUCAGUAGCCGGACUGAGAGGUUGAACGGCCACAUUGGGACUGAGAUACGGCCCAGACUCCUACGGGAGGCAGCAGUCGGGAAUAUUGCGCAAUGGAGGAAACUCUGACGCAGUGACGCCGCGUAUAGAAAGAAGGUUUUCGGAUUGUAAACUAUUGUCGUUAGGGAAGAGAAAGGACAGUACCUAAGGAGGAAGCUCCGGCUAACUACGUGCCAGCAGCCGCGGUAAUACGUAGGGAGCGAGCGUUAUCCGGAAUUAUUGGGUGUAAAGGGUGCGUAGACGGGAAGAUAAGUUAGUUGUGAAAUCCCUCGGCUUAACUGAGGAACUGCAACUAAAACUGUUUUUCUUGAGUGCAGGAGAGGUAAGUGGAAUUCCUAGUGUAGCGGUGAAAUGCGUAGAUAUUAGGAGGAACACCAGU